AAAUAAGGAGUCCACGCAAGAAAUGUGUGUGUGUGUGUUUUGAGAGCCUAAAACACUCUCCUUUCACACUCUCCCUCUCUUUGCGUGUGUCUCUCUAUUUUUGUUUUACCUAUUUUGCAUAGGUUUUUAAUGUUACUAGAACCUCAUGAAAAUGUAAUAAAUUUUCAACGACGGAUAUCUAGGCUCCUAUAACGAUGAAGAACGCAGCGAAAUGCGAUACGCAAUGCGAAUUGCAGAACCGUGAGUCAUCAGAUCUUUGAACGCAAAUGGCGAUAGUGUCAAAAACUAUCAUGUUUGUUUCAGUGACCCUGGUUAAUCACAUCACAGAUCUCAGUGCGAUUGAAGCAGUUCUCUCGCUAAAUCUGAGGCCUCUCUCGACGUGCGCCAGUUAAACGAAGUAGUCACUGAAAACAUUUCUAGUGAUGUCGUCUUAACCUUGGCGUCGUCUCUUAAAAAAAGACAGGCCUACCAAAUAUACAAACAUAUAUCCAAAAACCUGAAAUAAGCAAGAGGACCCGCUGAACUUAAGCAUAUCAGUA
rnacentral:rRNA from 1 species